rnacentral:lncRNA from 1 species
UAUCUUCGACUUCAUUGUUUUAGUUUAAUUCAAGUUGUCCGACAAGUUGAGGUUGUCAGUUACACGGCUUGAGGUUGUCGACGAAGGUUUUCCAGUCGCGCUCUAAUCUCAUCUUCAUUGUUAAUCGUUUGAGGUCCAUUUCUCGCUUCCUCUCUUGGAUUUUAAUUUUUCUAUUUUUUGUGUGACUAUCUGAUUUAUUUCAACAUGUGUAUGAUUUCUCUUAAUAUUUGUUUGUUUGAGCUUGAUUGAAUGAAUGUUUAAAAAGUGUUUUGCUAUCUUUGUACUCAACUUGGGAUAUUCUCGUGUUAGUGUUCGAAGUAUAUGAGCAUAUGUUUAAAAAUAGAAAAUUAAGAACAGAAAAUCGAUUGUGGUAUAGAACUGAAGUGAAAAUCGUUUGAGUUUUGGAUAAAUUUUUUUAUUCCUUUAAUUUAUUUUAUUUCAUUUCAUUAAUUUGAUCGGCAUGAGCAGGCCGUCAAUUCUUGGGUAAGCAAUCUUAGGAUUUUUCAUUUACUUUUGGUUUCAAGGUGAGAGGUUGUCACUUAGAUAAACUCACCCGGAGAAUGCCCCGUGGACUUUGUAAAUAUUUCAACUCGGGGAAUGCUCCGAAGUACGUAUAAAUGGAGUCGUGAAAUCAUCAAUGGAGGCAUAGUAUAAGCUAGGAAGACUUACUUUAUUUUGUUUUAUUUUUCUUUUAUUAGGAAGGGACGACAUCGGACCUUUUGGGUGUUUAUUUUACUUUGUGUGUUUUACCUUAAUUCAAAUAUUCUAAAAUCUGAUUAGAUCAAGUAUGCAACCGUACUAGUUACGGGACUUGGGGAGUUCCUAACACCUUCUACCCGAGUCAAAUGAACCUCCUUACCCGAAUCUCUGGUGCAGACUUAAUUUUAGAGUCUCAAGUGUUUUGAAAGGAAAACUUUUUUUUGUUUUUAGAAAAAUAAAGGGUGACCCUGGCACACCGAAACAAAUGUCAGGUGGCGACUCUGAGUAUUUCCUUUUGAACACAAAUUUUGUCACUUUCUAAUUGAAAACCCUUUUGAGCUUUAUUAAAUCUUCAUAUUUAUUUAAGAUGGUUUAGUGAAAGUUUGGUAAAAAAAGGGAUGUGACACAUUCCAUAUCAUGGAUUAGGACACCGCAUAUAACGCCAUCGUGGGGCGACCAUGGAUAAAACCCAUAAGAGUUGUCCCCUCCACUUUAUACCAAGUGAUCAAAUUCUCUAACACCUUUGGAAUAUUCAGCAUACAGGGAGAAUAAUAUACAUCUCGGUAAUGCUACAGAAUCGCCAUGGCAACACGAUAACUCAACAGAAGAAGGAAAAAGAAGAUAAGGCAUAGAAAUCAACAAGGCUGAGGUCACCACAAGGUGAAGCCAAGGAAACCAUUAUGGAUCCAUAGACGGUGAAAGUCUCUGAAUCAACCAUGGAGGACCUCGACCUCGUUUAACUAGAUCAUAACGACCUCCGCAAAAAGGCCUACAUCGGUUGUAAACUCCUAAAACCAGGUAAAUUUAGUCAAUUCUUAAUAUCUAAUGCAGAUUUAUUUGCCUUUAGUCCCGCAGACAUGCCAGGUAACACCAAAGAAAUCUCUACAAACAAGCUGAAUGUUGACCCCUUCUACCCCCGAUAAGGCAUAUCCGACAAAAGUCCAUCCUCGCUAUCAAUGAGGCCAUGAACGAAGAAGUGGAGAAGUUAUUGGCAAACUGAUUCAUCGGAGAGGCGAAGUACCCCAAAUCGAUAGCCAAUGUGUUGAUGCCCAAAAACAAAAAUGGGAAAUGGAGGAUGCGUAGACUUCAAAGACCUAAACAAAGCAUGCUCAAAUGAUUCAUUCACACUACCACCCAUCAACCAACUCAUCGACCCAACAGCCGGGCACGAGUUAAGUUUUAUGGAUGCCUAUUUAAGUUACAACCAAUUACUCAUGGAGGAAGAGUACCAAGAGAAAACUACGUUCAUCACCCACAUGGGAACAUAUUAUUAUAGUGUCAUACCAUUGCUAAAGAACGCAUGGACCACCUAUCAAAUGUUAGUCACAAAGAUGUUCAAAGAUCAACCCAACAAAACCAUGAAAGUAUAUAUCAACAACAUGAUGGUGUCCAUGAAGGCAGAGGAUCAUAUCGACCACCUAAUGGAAGCUUUUGAUAUACUAAGAAUAUUCGGAAUAAAAUUAAACCCUUAGGAAUGCGCAUUUGGCAUAGCCUCAGGAAAGUUUUUAGGUUUCUUAGUAUCAUAACAAGGGUUGAGGUCAACCCACAUUAAAUCGAGGCUAUCGAUGGGAUACCAUAACAAUUUACCACUAAAAAUCAAGUCCAUAGACUGAUGGAUCGAAUCGUCACCUUAUCCAUAUUCAUCUCGCGGGCGUCCGAUAGAUAUCAUAGGUUUUUAGCGUACUCAAAAGGAUAACGACCUCGAAUGGAUGCCCGAGUAUGUAUAAGUAAUGCAAUAACUAAAGGUGUACUUGUCAUCACCACCCUACUCUCAAAACCUGAAAAUGGGGAGUGUUUCCUCGUCUACCUCGCCAUCUCAGAAGUAGCAGUAAGUGCAGGUCGAAAACUCACCUUUUUUAUAUCAGUAAAACAUUUUUUGAUGCUAAAAUGCGGUACCCUCACCUUGAGAAACUAGCCUUGGACCUGGUCAUGAUUUCACGAAAGCUUAGACCCUAUUUCCAGUGCCACCCUAUCUCAAUCAUCACCGCUUUUCAUUUAAGAAGCAUAUUACACAAACUUGAGUUGUCGGGGAGGCUGGCCAAAUGGUCCAUGGAGUUAAGCAAGCACAACAUCAAUUAUCAACCUGGCACAAUGAUAAAGUCGUAAGUACUCGCAGAUUUCGUCGCAGACUUUAGUACAAAAUUAAUGUCGAAGGCUGAAAAGGAAGCCACCUAGGCUUCUCUUCAGACACAAGACCUUUGGGUCCUGCACACUAACGGCACAUCCAAUGCAUGCAGGGCUGGGGACUCGUACUUGAGGUUCCUGAUCACGUCCAGCUAUGCCUUCUAAACGACAAAGCGGUCAUUGCAAAUAUAAUCCGGUUUUAAGUCAGUAGUCGAUCCUCAGAGAACUAACCCAUCUAUUAUAACUCUUUAGAAAUGCUAUUAUCAACUAAACCAAUUUCUAGAUGAAAGAUUUUUAUCAAUCAAUCUUGUAUUUUAUUUAACUACGUCAAAUAAAAUUAGAAAUAACAAUAUGCUAUAUUAAAGGUAAUUCAAUAGUAAAAGGUCUAGGACAGUGAUUUUCCCAAUUGCUAGUUUAGGUCUUGACUCUUUCGCUAUAAUCUCGCCACAAUACUCAAUGAGGAUUAAGAGCUAUGGGUUAUCGUAAUUAUCUCUCAAUCAACUAUAAUAAUUUACUAGAGCAUUCUUUCGAACUACUGUAGCUGACAAUAUGUGCAACGUUAUCCCACCAAAAUUUCGCUAUCCCUAAACCCACUUUUAAGUUCAAGUAAUGAAUCUCUUCAAUUACUCAAAAGUGGUGUUGUUCAACAUCAGUCUAACCUAAUAUUCUUUCUCAAGCAAUAUGAGGGAAUUAGACACGAUUAAUCAAGGGUCCAUUUGAACAAUCAUAAAACAAAUCCAGCCCGAUUAUAACAAGUUGAGUCAAAACUUCAACCAACAAUUGAUUCCAUCAACCCUAGAUAAUUGUUUAGCGACUCAUAACAAAAUAAGAUAAAACUAUAAAGUUAUUCAUAAUGUAUAAUUGCAAGAAUUAAAAUGAGAUAGAAAAACUCUAAUAUUUGGUUGAUCUUCUCACACUUGUUCUUGCCUCCAAAAUACUCUCAAAACAAGCUUCAUUCUGUCUUGGGUGAGCUUCUAAAGUUUAUAAAGGUUUGGAACAAGUUUUCUUGAAUUACACUUUGGUCCCUAAUUUUCAGGCAAAUGAAUAGCUCACCGCGGUCCCUGCAAGACCAUGCCACGACCGCGGUGAAGGCUGAACAUUUUUCCUCGCGUAAUUAUCUGCCGCAGUUCAACCGCGAUUCCCACCGCUGUCGCGGUGGAUUUCACUUCAGUCCAUUUUUUGCUUCUUUAUGGUUGGGUGCUUCUUGAUUGGGCGUUUUCUUCACAUUAUUGACUCCAAAACACUCCGUAGUGCUUCCUCACUUAGAUUAUUUCUGGUAAAGCAAAAGAACACUAAUUAGAGCAUUUUGUUGUCAAUUCGCCUAUAAAACAACAAUAAAGCAUGGUAAUAUUAAGGUAUAAAUAUCAUCUAUAUAGCCUAAUAUCAACACUCCACACUUAAAUCAUUGCUAGUACUCUAGCAAUCCACCACACGCUAUCAAAGUCCCUUCCCUAAGCUUUUCCCUUAACGAAUCAUACCUUAAACAAUUUACCAAAGUUGCACCUAGUGGUGAACAACCUUUUCCUCAGAAGUCGAAUCUCUCGUACCAUGCAAUAUUCGCACUUACUCAAACUACUCUAUAUAGAAGUCAAAACUUACAUUUGCUUUGUGAAUCACAUGUUCUCACAUCACAAAAGAGAGUAAUUCUACAAUUAAUAUGAUUAAAAACACUUAGGAAGUCAUAUGGACAAAAUUCGCUCACUCUCUAAAAGAACAUUCACAUGCCACAAAGAUGCACCAUAUGCUUGCCCGUAGUGUAAUACUUUACUAAUCAAGCAUGUCUAGUCUAAGAUCAAUUAGGACUUCAUUUUGUUGUAAUAUAGGCUAAGGGAUGGGUAGGAUAUAUUUGGAUAAGUGACUAACCCAUUAAGCACUUUUAAUACGAAACACACUAACAGUCAAUAUCAUGCUUACGUCAACCAGACAUUUUCCACAAUUUAUUUAUACAUCUCAUUCCUUUUGGUGCAUUUGCAUCAAGCUAUCACUUAUCAACUACCACAUUUAUUCACAUUUUUUUUCAUUUUUAGGUAGUGUAGUAACUCCCCCUUGAUUUUCUUUGGGUCACGGUUCUUUUCUAGGGGUUUAGCUUGAACCAAGUGUAGGUAGUUUUUGGUUAUUUUGUUUUUAGUUUUAGUUAGCAUUGAUGGGCUACGAGCUGCAAUAGAAAGAGAAUCUCUUGGCAUCAGUACACCUGAACACAAUCGACAACUAGAGUGCAACGCCUCUCAAUCGUUGAAUCUUGCUAAAGUUCCUUAAAGUUGUAUGUUUAUGGCUGAGUUGAACACUCAGAAGCGAAUGUCUUGAUAAAUCAAUCCGGAGUGAAUCAUAUGCCAUAUGACUGUGAGUUAUUCUGUAUUCUAUGCUUUACAUUUGAUGUCUAAAACAUGCCCUUUGUGAUUACAACAUGAAAUAGUAGCUCCGUUCAGUCUUAGAAAUUAUAUAGGCAUUUAUUCGUUAAGCCAGAUAUAUAACGUAAAUCCACCUGAAUGUAAUACAUCGUAGUUAACCCCAUUGAGCCUAUAAGCCUAUUUCUUUUGCAACCACAUAGCUAACCUUACCCAAUUGUUUGAAUAGCUUUCUAUUUGAACCCUUUUACCUCUAAUGAGCACUUGAAUGGCCUUGACAUAUGCAAAAGGUAAAGUGUAGGGUGGUGGGUUGGUUUUGAGUGGAGCCAAGGAAGUAGAUGAAAGGUGCAGUUUUUAAGAAUAAAAGAAGAAGCACCACAAAAAAAUUGUGAUAAAUAUAGUAGUUGAUAAGUGGUAGCUUGAUGCAAAUGCACCUAAAGGAAUGAGAUGUAUAAAUAAAUUGUGAGAAAUGUCCGGCUGACAUAAUAAUGAUAUGGAAUAAUAAAUGUGUUUUGUAUUAAAAGUGCUUAGGGGAGUUAGUCAUUAUAUCCAAAUAUAUCAUACUCAUCCCUUAGCCUACAUUACAACCAAAUGAAGUCCUAAUUGAUCUUAGACUGGAUAGGCUUGAUUCGUAGAGUAUUAAAAUACGGGCAAGCAUAUGGUGCAUCUUCGUGGCAUGUGAAUAUUCUUUUGGAGAGUGAGAGAAUUUUGUCCAUCUGAGUUCUUAUGUAUUUUUAAUCAUAUUAAUUGUUGAACUACUCUCUUGUGUGAUGUGAGGGCAUGUGAUUCACAAAGGAAAGGUAAGUCUUGACUUCUGCAUAGAGUAGUUUGAGUAAGUGUUAAUAUUGCAUGGUACGAGAGAUUCGACUUCCGAGGCAAAGGUUGUUCACUACUAGGUACAACUUUUGUAAAUUUUUCAAGGUGUGAUUCGUUAAGGGAAAAGCUUAGGGAAGGAACUUUGAUAGCAUAUCGUGGAUUUCUAGAGCUAGCAAUGAUUUAAGUGUAGGGUUUUGAUAUUAAGCUAUAUAGAUGAUAUUUUCACCUUAAUAGUACCAUGAUUUAUUGUUAUUUUUAUUGGCGAAUUGAUAACAAAAUACUCUAAUUAGUGUUUUUUGCUUUGCAGGGAAUAAUAUAAGUGAGAAAGCAUUACCGAGUAUUUUGGAGUCAAUAAUUUGAAGAAAACGCCCAAUUAAGAAGCACCCUAGCAUAAAGAAGAAAAAAAUAGACUGAAAUGAAAUCCACGACGAUCACGGUGGAACCGCGGCAUACAAUUCGCGAGGCAGAAUGUUCAGCCUUCAUCCGCGGUCACCACAACCAUGUCACAUUAGCCCUUAUAACUCCAUUGAGGCAAUUCCAC